CUCCUACGGGAGGCAGCAGUGGGGAAUUUUGGACAAUGGGCGCAAGCCUGAUCCAGCCAUGCCGCGUGAGUGAAGAAGGCCUUCGGGUUGUAAAGCUCUUUCAGCCGGGAAGAAAAGGUUGCGAUUAAUAAUCGCAAUUCAUGACGGUACCGAAAGAAGAAGCACCGGCUAACUACGUGCCAGCAGCCGCGGUAAUACGUAGGGUGCGAGCGUUAAUCGGAAUUACUGGGCGUAAAGGGUGCGCAGGCGGUUUUGUAAGUCAGAUGUGAAAUCCCCGGGCUUAACCUGGGAACUGCGUUUGAAACUACAAGGCUAGAGU
rnacentral:rRNA from 1 species